rnacentral:rRNA from 1 species
CCUACGGGGGGCAGCAGUGGGGAAUAUUGCACAAUGGGCGCAAGCCUGAUGCAGCCAUGCCGCGUGUGUGAAGAAGGCCUUCGGGUUGUAAAGCACUUUCAGCGGGGAGGAAGGCGGUGAGGUUAAUAACCUCAUCGAUUGACGUUACCCGCAGAAGAAGCACCGGCUAACUCCGUGCCAGCAGCCGCGGUAAUACGGAGGGUGCAAGCGUUAAUCGGAAUUACUGGGCGUAAAGCGCACGCAGGCGGUCUGUCAAGUCGGAUGUGAAAUCCCCGGGCUCAACCUGGGAACUGCAUUCGAAACUGGCAGGCUAGAGUCUUGUAGAGGGGGGUAGAAUUCCAGGCGUAGCGGUGAAAUGCGUAGAGAUCUGGAGGAAUACCGGUGGCGAAGGCGGCCCCCUGGACAAAGACUGACGCUCAGGUGCGAAAGCGUGGGGAGCAAACAGGAGUAGAUACCCUUGUAGUC